rnacentral:rRNA from 1 species
AUUGAACGCUGGCGGCAUGCCUUACACAUGCAAGUCGAGCGGCAGCGCGGGGGCAACCCUGGCGGCGAGCGGCGAACGGGUGAGUAAUACAUCGGAACGUGUCCAGUAGCGGGGGAUAACCUGUCGAAAGAUAGGCUAAUACCGCAUACGACCUACGGGUGAAAGCGGGGGACCGCAAGGCCUCGCACUAUUGGUGCGGCCGAUGUCGGAUUAGCUAGUUGGCGGGGUAACGGCCCACCAAGGCGACGAUCCGUAGCGGGUCUGAGAGGACGACCAGCCACACUGGAACUGAGACACGGUCCAGACUCCUACGGGAGGCAGCAGUGGGGAAUUUUGGACAAUGGGCGCAAGCCUGAUCCAGCCAUGCCGCGUGAGUGAAGAAGGCCUUCGGGUUGUAAAGCUCUUUCGGCGGGGACGAAACGGUCCGUGCCAACACCACGGACUAAUGACGGUACUCGCAGAAGAAGCACCGGCUAACUACGUGCCAGCCGCCGCAGUAA